rnacentral:lncRNA from 1 species
UUUAGGAACAUAUAUCUAAUUCGAUCUAUUAGAUGCAUAUAUAUACAUAUAUGUAAAGAAUUAUAUAUAUAUGUUAUAUAUAUUAUACUUUAUAUCAGUUUUACAAUAUUUUUAUGAAUUAAAUUUAUCAUAUUACGUACUAGAAUUUAAAAUCCCUUAUAUAUUAAAAGAGAAGCAUUGUAAUAAUUGCAUUCACACUAUAAUAGACAUGUGACAGCUUCACAAUGAUUUGAUAAUAGGUAUACUA